UUAACUUAAAGGAAUUGACGGGGGCCCGNACAAGCNNNGGAGCAUGUGGUUUAAUUCGACGCANNGNUUCNACCUUACCUACUCUUGACAUCCUGAGAAUCCCUGAGAGAUUGGGGAGUGCCGAAAGNNACUUAGAGACAGGUGCUGCAUGGCUGUCGUCAGCUCGUGUCGNGAGAUGUUGGGUUAAGUCCCGUAAUGNGCGCAACCCCUAUACUUAAUUGCCAUCNGNUANAGCUGGGCACUUUAAAUAGACUGCCGGUGAUAAACCGGAGGAAGGUGGGGACGACGUCAAGUCAUCAUGGCCCUUACGAGUAGGGCUACACACGUGCUACAAUGGUCGGUACAGAGGGAAGCGAAGUCGCGAGAUGGAGCGAAUCUCAUAAAGCCGAUCUUAGUCCGGAUUGCAGUCUGCAACUCGACUGCAUGAAGCUGGAAUCGCUAGUAAUCGCGAAUCAGAAUGUCGCGGUGAAUACGUUCCCGGGCCUUGUACACACCGCCCGUCACGCCAUGGGAGUGGGUUGUACCAGAAGUAGUUAGACUAACCGCAAGGAGGUCGAUUACCACGGUAUGAUUCAUGACUGGGGCGAAGUCGUAACAA
rnacentral:rRNA from 1 species